UUCUGACCGUAAACGAUGCCAACUAUCAAUCCGCCAGUAGCUUUCGGUUAUUGGCGGGCGGAUCGACGGAAACGAAAGUCUUUCGGUUCCGGGGGAAAGUAUGGUUGCAAAGCUGAAACUUAAAGGAAUUGACGGAAGGGCACCACCAGGAGUGGAGCUUGCGGCUUAAUUUGACUCAACACGGGAAAUCUCACCCGGCCAGUACAUCGUGAGGAUUGACAGAUUGAAAGCUCUUUCAUGAUUCGAUGAAUGGUGGUGCAUGGCCGUUCUUAGUUCGUGGCGUGAGUCGUCUGCUUAAUUGCGAUAACGAGCGAGACUCCCACUGUUAAAUAGCACGAGUUUUCGUCCGCGUCAGCUCGAGGCUUCUUAACUGGAUUCGAGCCUUCAAGGCUUAAGAAAUGGAGCAAUAACAGGUCUGUGAUGCCCUUAGAUGUUCGGGGCCGCACGCGUGCUACAAUGAUGGUAACAGCGUGAUUGUCCUCGCCCGACAGGGCUUGGCAAACAGUUGAGAUAUUAUUAUGGCUGGAAUUGAGUGUUGAAAUUAUCGCUCAUGAACGAGGAAUUCCAAGUAAAUGCGAGUCAUCAACUUGCAUUG
rnacentral:rRNA from 1 species